rnacentral:lncRNA from 13 species
AAACUAUGACAAUCUUGUACAUCUCACAGUGCCUUGACUCAUGCUUCCAGUGAAACCUUUCUCCAGCUCCCUGUUUCCCACCGUCCACCCACACUGGUUUCUAUUCCUCCUAUUUUGAUACGUGAAGCAGAAUUGCUGCACCUCCAACUAGUGCUUCAGCCAUGCCUGAACAGGAGCUCCCACAUGGGCAUGGGCCAGUGCCGAGGGUUGGUGUUUUGCUGAAGGGACAUGUGCCAAGGCACAGGGAAGAUACAUGACUAUCUCUCUUUGAAAGUCAUUGAUUUGUGACUUUGAAAGUGCCUCCAUAACCUGCUCACAGAGAAGCCAUUUGCAAAUUUGAUGCCAGUUUUUAAAUGCAAGAUGAAAGUGGUUUUGCUGCCACUAAAAUCAGCAGAUCUGAGUCCCUCGGGAGAGGUGCAGCAGUCCGUGUCACUGGAGAGCCAGAUCUGUAGCCUCACAAAAGAUCUUCUAUCCAGAUCUGACGUAUAGUUUUGGCUCUUCCCACUCUGAAAGCACGGCAGUAUCUCAACGGUGGGAGAUAAGCUGUGGACACGUGGCUGUUUUACAUCUUCAUUGUGUCUAGUGACUGGAGCAAGGUUCUGAAACAUUCACUACUCUCAUCCCGUUCCCUUCUGGAGGUGAGUUGCAAGGAAUUUAGUGAAGGCAUGAGUGAGUACUGCUUUUAUGUCCUGGUGCAGUGUGCAUUCUCU